rnacentral:rRNA from 1 species
UUCGGGGUAGACCUCCCACCCUUUGUAUACCAUACCUUUGUUGCUUUGGCGGGCCGCCUAGCUACUGGCUUCGGCUGGUAAGUGCCCGCCAGAGGACCCAAAACCCUGAAUUAUUAGUGUCGUCUGAGUAAAAAGUUAAUAUUUAAAACUUUCAACAACGGAUCUCUUGGCUCUGGCAUCGAUGAAGAACGCAGCGAAAUGCGAUAAGUAAUGUGAAUUGCAGAAUUCAGUGAAUCAUCGAAUCUUUGAACGCACAUUGCGCCCCUUGGUAUUCCGAGGGGCAUGCCUAUUCAAGCGUCAUUAUCACCCCUCAAGCCUAGCUUGGUGUUGGGGCCUGCCGUCAAGGCAGCCCCUAAAAUCAGUGGCAGUGCUGUCAGGCUCUAAGCGUAGUAAAUCUUCUCGCUACAGACACCUGGUGGACACUCGUCAACCACCCCCCAAUUUUUAAUGAUUGACCUCGGAUUAGGUAGGGAUACCCGCUGAACUUAAGCAUAUCAAUAAGCGGAGGAA